AUGGCAUAUAACUAUCUCCAUAAUUGUGUCAUGAAAUUAGAACAAGUCUUCAUUUAGUUAUUCCCUCCAUCUCGUAUUAGUUGAUCGAUCUUACUAAAAAAAAUUACUUAUAUCAUAUUAAUUAAGAUCACCUUAAAUACUCUAAUAUCUCACAUAUUGCAAACUUGUUUGACUAAUACAAACUUGUUUACUUACCAUUAGAUUAGUGUUAACUUAGUCAUCAACUACUUCAACAUUAUGGCAUCUCACCUAAAAAGAUUAACUUAUAUUCCUACACUUUCCUCUAUAUCUACACUAAUUUGUAGCAAAUCUUACACUAGUAAAGUUAAAAAUUUAUUAGCCCCAACACUCAUAUCAACAAUUAUUUAUUCCAAAUGUAUGUCUACAAACCAAACAACAACUUCAAAUAACAGUCCAGGUACUACAGUGCACCUCAAAUGUGCUCUGGAUUCAAAUUUUGAGAAUGGUGGUGAAAAUGAUCGACAAGAUUACUACAGAUGGAGCAAUGGGGGUGGGACUUUUCACAAGUCCGCUAGCAUUGAUCCGUCUGCUUUUGUAGAAGUUGGCGCUGUAGUACAUUCAGAAUGUGCGGUGGGUGCAGAUUGUCACAUUGACUCCGGAGCAAUCAUUGGACCUACUGUCACACUAGGCCAUUCAACGAAAAUAGGAUACAAUGUUGCAUUGGCUAAUUGCAUGAUUGGUGACUUCUGCGUUAUCCACAGCGGGGUCUGCAUUGGUCAAGAUGGUUUUGGAUUUUAUGUAGAUGAGCAAGGAAAUAUGGUGAAAAAACCUCAAAUCCUGAAGGCGAGAAUAGAAAACCAUGUAGAAAUAGGUGCAAAUACAUGUAUCGAUAGGGGCAGUUGGAGAGAUACAGUAGUUGGAGAACAUACAAAGAUCGAUAAUUUAGUUCAGAUAGGUCACAAUGUAGUGAUUGGGAGAAGCUGCCUCAUUUGUGGACAAGUUGGCGUAGCGGGUUCAGUGACUAUAGGUGACUAUGUAACUUUAGGAGGAAGAGUUGGGAUACGUGAUCAUGUAAACAUCGUCUCAAAGGUCAGGUUAGCUGCAAAUAGCUGCGUCACCAAGGAUAUAAGUGAGCCCGGAGAUUAUGGUGGCUUUCCUGCUUUAAUGUGGCUAAAUGCAGAUUCCAAUACGUGAUUGGCGAAGACAAAUUGCUAAACAUCGUCAAAACUUGAAGUAAGAAUUCCAUUCGAAUGCUGACCCCAUACCGCAACAGUCCACCACCUUGGCCUAAAGCAGGAACAGAGAAGUCAUUGAGGAAAAUUCGCGGCCGAUGAGGACGAAGACUUAGCCAUAAGAUAAAUGUGAUGAGCCCAACAAUUGCAAGAAGGCCUAAGAAUACAGAACAUAUUAACUUUGACACUCUUGUGGUUAGACUUUCUUUAACUCUAUGGGCAUAAUAGCUAGCACUAUGGUGUCGCCUUAUAGGGCGAUCUUGAUCAUCGCGGCCAUAUACGGGUAAGUCUGGCCUAGAUUGGUGCAUUUUUUGAGUUUUUUUUUUCGAAAGAAUGGAAUUGAGGUUGAUGAUGAACAGUUUUUAGAGAACAUGAUUAUAUAUGCAAAUCUUUGGAUUGUUGAUCAUAGUACUGUUGACAACUUUUUUGGAAAGAAAAGAAUAAAGAAGAAUUGGU